GAUGAAGAACGUAGCGAAAUGCGAUAAGUAAUGUGAAUUGCAGAAUUCAGUGAAUCAUCGAAUCUUUGAACGCACAUUGCGCCCGCCAGUAUUCUGGCGGGCAUGCCUGUUCGAGCGUCAUUUCAACCCUCAGGGCCCUUUUGGACCUGGCGUUGGGGCUCGGCCGCUACCCUGCGGCCGUCCCCGAAAGAUAGUGGCGGUCUCGCUGUAGCCUCCUCUGCAUAGUAGUUACAUCUCGCACUGGAACGCGGCGCGGCCAUGCCGUUAAACACCCCACUUCUCAAGGUUGACCUCGGAUCAGGUAGGAAUACCCGCUGAACUUAAGCAUAUCAAUAAGCGGAGGA
rnacentral:misc_RNA from 1 species